rnacentral:lncRNA from 1 species
CCGGGCGCGCGCUCGCGCGUGUGCGAGUGUGAGUGCGCGGCGCGUGUGGCCGCGUGUGCGCGCCCCUGAGCGCGCGCUGUGCCUCGGCGCCGCCUGCGUGCGGGGGGUGCCCGUGCGCGCUCCGCACCGAGCUCCCCGGCGCUGCCGUCCUCGCCUCCGCCGCCCCGGCGGCUCCGCGCAGCGCCCGCGCAGCGGGUCGGCAUCUUCAUGGGCUGCCACCAUGCUUGGGCCCUGGAGAUUUCGGGCGAAGCUAGUUUUGCAGAACAUUGGGAAUAAGCGCUAUGUCAGAUAUGGAUGAGACUCCGAAGAUGACCUGCAUGUUUUACAUUUUUCACAAAUUUUGGGUGAGUGGUUAAAACAUUUAUUUUGAGAGUGUGUAUGUGUCUGUGUGUGAGAGAAAACAGGAGACUUCUGCUUGAAAUGAGCUCUGUUACAUUGUGUAUAACUUGGGAGGGGAUCACAUAUCAAUUAAUAUUACUUGCUUUUGUAAAGAUGCACAAUUUCCGUAAUUGAAGAGAGCUGUUAAGUGCACUGAAGUAGGAGGUUAAUGUAUUUAAUCUCAUUACAGAAGAAUUCCUGCACAAAAGUCAUCUGGGGGUGCGAGCGUGUGUGCAUGUGUGUGUGUGUGCGCUCGCGUGUGUGCAUGUCUGUGUGGGUGGGUGUGUGCUUUGUAAAUGUAUAGCUAGGGAAAAAGCCACCAGCAUAAAAGAGUUUUAAAAAAUGUGUGAUGUGGAGAAUGUGUCAGUGUUCCCUCUGUGGAAUUAAGAUGCCAUUUUCAGCACUGAGCAUUUUUUCUUUGGAUUCCUACCAUGGUGUUUCCAUCACCAGUUUAAAAUCAAGGUAGAAGGAGGGGAAGACCUUGGUGCACUGGUUCAGCAGGGAUGUUCUGAGGGGAAGAGGGAGCUGGGUAAUAGAGGAGGUGGGAAACCUCGUAAAAUGGUGUUUCUUUUCUCUUAAAUUAGAAACGUGAAACUGAACUGACAGCCAUUUUAUGUAUAUUUAUGGGGCUGGUUGUGAAAAGGAAAUCCAAAGAAGCAUUGAAAUUCACCCCACACUAACAGAACCAGAGCAAUUCCUACUGUGACCUCACCUUUUUAGACACCGCAGGCAUUUGACUCACAAGGAGUUGCCUAUCAACCCUUUAAUCAAGGCAUGU